GUACGGAUGCUCUGUCUAACCUGUGCUGGUUCUUGGUUGUGCUGGAGUUGAAGCAGCCCCCGUGAGUCACUGUGUGAGCCGUAUGCCUUGAUCUCUCUUAUCUCCUUCUGAUUCUGAUCCUCAGCAACCAUCCUAGAGGGUAGAUAGGGUGGGUUUUCUGCUAAGGGUACAGAAUCAGCGGUUGAUUAACAAGUUCUAGGCGAAUGCCCCACAGCCUUAGAGACAGACAACAGUCUGAUGCCUUUCCUGCCUCCUAUGUUCACCAAAUUUUCUCCAGACUUUGUGCCUCCCUUAGAGGUUCUGAGCCUCAUGAGUGUGGCCUACUGCUAAGCAUUAUGUAGGAUUCUAGAUAAUCUGUUAAUAUUUUGAGCUUAUCCCAAGUAGUUUAUCAGUGGAGACACUUAUCCUCUUACUAGAUUCCUAAGGCAAGGCUUGAUCCAUCAGUUCACUGGUAAGAAAGCCAGGUUUUAAUGAAUGCUGAUGGAGAAGAGUUUAGCUCAGAGGAGAGAGGGGAGGUAGAGUUGGAACCUAGAGACUCUUAGUUUUGCUUAGUUAUCAUUCUUUGAAGAUGCCUGUCAUGGAGUUCACCUCUCUGGCUUAUCGGUCUACUUGGCUCCUGAGUCUGCAGCACACAGUGCUCAGUCCUCGGCCUGUGCCCUGUGGCCCAAGGAGACUUGCCUAGGAGUUCACUCUGGUGGACGGGGAGCGUCCCAGUGCAGACAAGCAGUGCCUUCCUUCCUGGCAAAGGGGUGCUCUGUUCACGAGGCAUUUGCAUAAGCCAUAAUUAAGAGACUCUCAGAGGCAGCUGCUUUGAGUCCUCCCUGGAGAAGCUCUGGCUCACAGGAGACUCUCUCUGGAUGCAUUCUGUUCCAAUUCUGAGAGUCGCAAUAAUGAUGGGGCUUCUUGGUGAGAGUGCUGACCCGCAUCUGUUUUCUGGGCAAAAUCAUGGAAACUUUUACACUGACUUGAAGCCGCACAAUCAAUUCAUGUUCCAAUUUAGAACUUGAAGGUUUUAAAAUUGGAUCCUGGUCCACAGAGUGAUUGUGGGUUAGAAAUACAUGAGCAGUGAGAAGAUUUUAGCCCAAAGAGAUGACUGUAGUAGAUUUCAAAAAAAAAAAAAAAAAAAAAAAAAAAAAAGCCUAACAGAGAACGUUUGGCAAAUUGGCGAUUUCCAUUAAAAACGAGUUUCACGUUUGGAAACUCGGGAGGGUGACAGCGGAUAGGUGUGGUCAGUUGUGAAAUAAGUGCAGCACCUAUCAAGGGGACAACUCAAACUCAAGAUGUUUAAGUUGGGUGUCAUGGCCAGACUGCCUCACUUGGAAACUCUGAGCUGCUUGACCAUAAAGACGUGUCAGGGCCUCUGAUUUAAAGGACGUUCACAUCUGCGCAGAUGUCACUUUAUAUUCUACCUGUUUUCAUUAUGCAAAUGAGCUAGCUCCUCCUGGAGGGGACUCCCUGCCUGGUUAUAAGAUGUGUUCUGUGGACCAGUGAGACUGGGUUCUUCCGGCCUCUGCACUCCAGAGGCUACGGCAGGGCCCCAGCCUCCAGCACUAAGGGAAUUGUAUUUGUACUCUACUCCUGAUAUGUCUUGGCAACCCCAGGAACAACACACGGUAGAUGAAUUCUUAACUGCCUUGACAUGCCCCAGGUGGAGAGGGCUGGUUGUCACAUUAGUCAGGUACUUAUGAAGCUAACCCUAUACUUUUCUUUCUUUUUUUUUUAAGAUUUAUUUAUUUUAUUUUAUGUAUAUGUGUGCUCUACCUGCAUGUAUGUUUGUAUGCCAGAAGAAGGCAUUAGAUCCCAGUAUAGAUGGUUGUAAGCCACCAUAUGGUUGCUGGAAAUCGAACUCAGGACCUCUGGAAGAACAGCCAGUGAUCUUAAGUGCUUGCCAUCAUCUCUCCAGCCUUAUCCUAUACUUUUCAAUACCCCCGAGAUAAGGGAUAAGCGUGCACCUGUUUGUAGUAUCGUUUUUGUGAUAUCCAAGGAUAAAGAGGGAGAGAAGUGGUGGGAAAAUUGUCUAUGUCUUCAUUGCCAUACAACUUUGAAUUUUCUUUUUAGUUAUGCUCCCAAAAACCUACACCAAAAAUGUUUGCUUUUUAUCCUUGCAACAUCCUAGUUGACAAGUCUAUAGGGAACAUACAUCUACUGGAGAAUAUAAUAACGGUUCCACAGUUAACCACGCGGUCCUUUGUGGUAUCCAUGCUCUUAGAACCAAAGAAUAAUCUUGGUGUUGGUGUCUCACAAAGGAACAUGUGAACCAAGCAGAAGUAGGUCAGUGAGGCACUUGUUUUUAAAAAGGUGCGUAAGAACCCAGACUGGGUGGGCAAGCUCAGAGGGGCACGAAGUGCCCUUGAUUCUGAUUAAAUGAGGGUGGUGACGGUGUUUUCCCCAUUGUCUGGGGGCUGACUUCAUGCUCUUUCAACCUUGGUUAGUUUUACAAGAUUCAAGGCAAUGGAGGUGAGGGAAGGGACAAAGCAGUCGUUACAUAAAAGUUUGAUUGGGUGGGAAUAUUAAAGCAUUUAUAUAAAGGUCUACAAGGGAAAAGAUAAAAAGAUUUGCAUAAAAGUCUUAAAAAGGUGAGAGAAAUAAAAAGAAUUGAAUUCUUUGUCCUAAUUAGGUUCUAUAGUGUUUGACAGAAAAGACUAGCAUUUGAUGUUUCUUAGAACGCCAUCGGACUACC
rnacentral:lncRNA from 1 species